rnacentral:rRNA from 1 species
GACGAACGCUGGCGGCGUGCUUAACACAUGCAAGUCGAACGGAAAGGCCCCUUUGUGGGUCCUCGAGUGGCGAACGGGUGCGUAACACGUGAGUAACCUGCCCUUGACUUCGGGAUAACUUCAGGUAACUGGGGCUAAUACCGGAUAGGAAUCCUUGCUGCAUGGUGGGGGUUGGAAAGCUUCGGCGGGUUUGGAUGGACUCGCGGCUUAUCAGCUUGUUGGUGGGGUAGUGGCUUACCAAGGCGUUGACGGGUAGCCGGCCUGAGAGGGCGACCGGCCACAUUGGGACUGAGAUACGGCCCAGACUCCGACGGGAGGCAGCAGUGGGGAAUAUUGCACAAUGGGCGGAAGCCUGAUGCAGCAACGCCGCGUGCGGGAUGACGGCCUUCGGGUUGUAAACCGCUUUCAGCAGGGGCGAAGCUUGUGGUGACGGUACCUGCAGAAGAAGCACCGGCUAACUACGUG